rnacentral:rRNA from 1 species
GACGAACGCUGGCGGCGUGCUUAACACAUGCAAGUCGAACGGAAAGGCCCUGCUUUUGUGGGGUGCUCGAGUGGCGAACGGGUGAGUAACACGUGAGUAACCUGCCCUUGACUUUGGGAUAACUUCAGGAAACUGGGGCUAAUACCGGAUAGGAGCUCCUGCUGCAUGGUGGGGGUUGGAAAGUUUCGGCGGUUGGGGCUGGACUCGCGGCUUAUCAGCUUGUUGGUGGGGUAGUGGCUUACCAAGGCUUUGACGGGUAGCCGGCCUGAGAGGGUGACCGGCCACAUUGGGACUGAGAUACGGCCCAGACUCCUACGGGAGGCAGCAGUGGGGAAUAUUGCACAAUGGGCGGAAGCCUGAUGCAGAAACGCCGCGUGCGGGAUGACGGCCUUCGGGUUGUAAACCGCUUUCGCCGGUGACGAAGCGUGAGUGACGGUAAUGGGUAAAGAAGCACCGGCUAACUACGUG